UAUAUUCAGGUGUGAAUUUUUGUGAUAAUUGAAUUAUUGAUUGAAUUAUUUAGUUUUAUUUUUCACUAAUAAAUAGUAAACUUGAAAAUUUUAAUAAAUUUGUCUAUGAUCUAAAAUAUGAGCCCAUUAUGAUUGUAUUUUUAGAAUAGGUGGAAAGUGUGCUCAUGUGUUAGCAAUUAUAAUAAUGAUAGAAGAAUGGAAGAUAGCAGGAUAUAAAGAUGUACCUUCUCAACCAUCACCAACCUGGGAAUGUAAAUAGAAAAAGAAAGCCUGUGAUGGCUAAUUUUAACGACAACAGAAAAAUUAAAGUAUCAGAUGCUAAUAUUUUACAUCUUCAAACCUUGAAGGACAGUCCCAUCACGUACUUGGUGAGCAGCACAGCUGACUCCAUUACAACACCCAUUGGCCCGCAACUUAUUGGAUCCCCACUUGCAUAUCAUGCACCCCUUAUGCAAGUGGCAACAGAACCAAGAGCAGAGAACUCAGAUAAAUGUGGUGAAAUUGCUUUUCCAAAACCAGUUGCUGUACAUUUAGAUUUAGAACAGAUAGAAAAGAUGAAAGUUGAGUGGAAAGAAAUAGAUGUAAAUCAAGAUGAAGCCAUAAAAAAUAGAGAGAUCCACAAGAAAUAAUAAUAACAACUGGAUGAACCAAAGAAAGUGUCAUGUUACUGCCUCAAAUUUUGGAGCUGUUAUGAAAAGAAAGAAAGAAAUAAAUGAUUCAUUUUUAAAAAACACAUUUGACAAAAGUAAUUUUUAUUCUGUUCCCACUUCUUAUGGGCAAGCAAAUGAAACCACUGCUAAACAAAUGUAUAUAAAAGUUUUAUUAAAACAGACUGGAAAUCAUAUUCAUGACAUUGGAUUUGUAAUAAAUCCUGCUUUUCCAUUUUUAGGGACAACUUCUCGUAACUGGGGCCCAAUUUUGCGACUUUGUCACUUUUACGAGACAGGAUUUCUGCAUAGAGAGAAUAUAUCCCGAAAAAGAAACCAUGCAGAAGCUUGUUUCAAAAUUAUCAUGUUUUUAUGUUGAACAUUUAAAGCCAUUUCUAAUUAAAAAUUCUACAUGUCUAUGAAAUAAGUUUAACUAACCUGUGGCAGUAUUAACUGCAUUCUCUGUCUGUACCAUUUUAUUAUUCAAUGCAUUUACUUCACAG